UACGAAGGGGGCUAGCGUUGCUCGGAAUUACUGGGCGUAAAGGGAGCGUAGGCGGAUAGUUUAGUCAGAGGUGAAAGCCCAGGGCUCAACCUUGGAAUUGCCUUUGAUACUGGCUAUCUUGAGUACGGGAGAGGUGAGUGGAACUCCGAGUGUAGAGGUGAAAUUCGUAGAUAUUCGGAAGAACACCAGUGGCGAAGGCGACCCACUGGCCCGUUACUGACGCUGAGGCUCGAAAGCGUGGGGAGCAAACAGG
rnacentral:rRNA from 1 species